rnacentral:rRNA from 1 species
GAUGAACGCUGGCGGCGUGCCUAAUACAUGCAAGUCGAGCGAACAGAUGAGGAGCUUGCUCCUCUGAUGUUAGCGGCGGACGGGUGAGUAACACGUGGAUAACCUACCUAUAAGACUGGGAUAACUUCGGGAAACCGGAGCUAAUACCGGAUAAUAUUUUGAACCGCAUGGUUCAAAAGUGAAAGACGGUCUUGCUGUCACUUAUAGAUGGAUCCGCGCUGCAUUAGCUAGUUGGUAAGGUAACGGCUUACCAAGGCAACGAUGCGUAGCCGACCUGAGAGGGUGAUCGGCCACACUGGAACUGAGACACGGUCCAGACUCCUACGGGAGGCAGCAGUAGGGAAUCUUCCGCAAUGGGCGAAAGCCUGACGGAGCAACGCCGCGUGAGUGAUGAAAGUCUUCGGAUCGUAAAACUCUGUUAUUAGGGAAGAACAUAUGUGUAAGUAACUGUGCACAUCUUGACGGUACCUAAUCAGAAAGCCACGGCUAACUACGUG